CUUGUCACCUAUAAAUAAUUUGAGGGAGGAUAAUCUAGGGUUCUUUAUAGGCAUUUGAUAGGGGAUGGGGAUCCAAGGCUUCUAAGGCUGUUUCUCCAGCUUUGCUGUUGGAUCAUUCAUCACAGACUUCAAAGCCAGGUUCCUACUCACUCUCCUGCCUAUAAAAUUGGCCUGACAGAAUGAGCCUGACACCAGGAGCUGAGGACUAAUUGAUUUGUUAGUGCUUAGAGCCGUUACGGAGCUUGGAUGAAUUUUAGGUCUGACACUAUGAUUGGAAGCAGUGAGUGGUGGAUAUUAAGGCAGAAAAUUCCUAGCCUGGAUCCAGAUUUUAGAAACACUGGUGAUAGAUUCUUUUAAAGUCUGAAAGUCUGCACAUGAAGAAGAAAGUGAAUUAUCAGCUUAGGCAGUGGUGAUGGACUAGUGGUGGAGACAUGAGGGACUUAGAAUAGAUAUAAACACUUCAGUUCCUUCUUUGGAGGCCUCCAAAGAAGAUAUCAGCUCAUAUGUUUGCACCAAGGGGACGACAGGAUGCUGUGUGAUGUUCCAUGCCAUGUUUCCACCACAUAAUGGAAGGAGACUCAAACAUGCAUUCCCAGUUCACUGGCAAAUCCUCAUGCCUAGCUGUAGCUCUGAGCAUUAUAAUCUGCGGUAUGAACUACGCAAGCGAACCUUCUCGAUGAGCUCGAUGCAGGCAGCCAGGUCCAUCCCGAAGUCGAUGAACUCCCACUCGAUGCCCUCCUUCUUGUACUCCUCCUGCUCCAGCACGAACAUGUGGUGGUUGAAAAACUGUUGCAGUUUCUCGUUGGUGAAGUUGAUGCACAGCUGCUCCAGGCUGUUGAA